CUCAAUUCAAAAACUUAUCUAAAACAUGUAAUUACUGGGAAAUUCCAGAUUAAUUUCCUGCAAGUUUUAGUUAGUUAACGAUUGUGUUAAACACUUAAGAGAGCAGCUCCUAGAUGACUAAACCUGCUCAGCUGAAAUCAAAUGCUCUCAUGCUUCCCUGAAUGGACACACACAGAGUCUCUUCACCUGAGGAAUAAAGUGUAAGAUCUUCAGAACUUUUAUUCAGGGGAGAAAGGCCCAGGUAGCUGCUGCUGUUCAGCUUAAGGCUAAUCUGACCUUCUAUAACAGGAGUUCAAGUCCCAGAAAUCCCUAGUCCUCCAUCAGAGAAGCAGCUAGUGUGUACUGCUCUCACAGAGAGAAAUAGAUGGGGCGAGUAAAUACUGCACUUUCAACCGAAACAUACAGAUACACAUGUUGGAAUUCAUCAAGAAAACAACCUGACCCAUGGAGAAUGGAGAAAAGCAGGGCAGGACAACCGCCCACACGGGAGAAACAUGGAGCCAGGGGAACCUCCCCAUCCAGGGAAGCCGUGAGUGAAUGAGCGACCCUGCGGACCAAUGCUUCUCCCAUGGAUCGUUGCUACUCUUGGGUCAGGAGAUCCCCUCAUGAACCCACUCCACUAGGGCCUUCAGUCAGAUACACAGAGCUAUGGGGAGUCUUGGCAGAGCAGCCGCUCAGGUACACACGGAGCCCCAGGAGCCUUAGAUAUCCUGGCUUCCUGGCAAAAGUAACUGCUACUCCAGCCAAGUGGGAGGUUAGACCCCCAUACCUACUCCUAUGAAAGGGGCUGAAUCCAGGGGGCUGAGCAGCGAUGAUCUGCAGGCCUCACUUCCAUAGCACUUCAGAGGUCACAGGAUAAGACCCACUGGCUUGGAACUCUAGCCAGCUGCUGGUAGCAGCAUUACACAUCCCUGAGAGGGAGCUCUCAGAGGAAGGGGUAGGCGGCCAUCUUUGCUGUUUCACAGCCUCAGUCCUUGUUGCCUUCAGGCUUUAGAGAGUGCAAGGUGAUCCAUCAGUGACUGGAGUGGACCCCCCAGCACAACAUGGCUGUCCUGUGGAAAAGUGGCCAGACUGCUUUUUUACACAAGUCUCCAAACCUGUUUCUCCUCACUGGAUGAGUCCUCCUGGCCUGGGUCUCCACCCACCCCCUGCCAGGGAUAUUGAGCCAGUAGCAGCUCCAUAACUCUCUGGGACAGCGCUCCCAGUGUUUGGGGGUUGGGGGGUGAGAGGGUGGGGGGUGUGAUGUUUGCUGUCUUGCAGCCCUUGCCCUUACUGUCUCCAGGCUCUGAAAAGUCCUCUGUGAGUACCAGGGGCUGGUCCAGACCCCCAGCACAGAGCGCCCACCUUAGAAAAGCGGUCAGACUGUUCCCCACAAGUCCCAGUCCUCACUGCAUAGGGCUGCCCGACCUGAGACUCCAGCACCACCAUCCUGUUUCCGCCUGACCACUUCAAUCAGAGGCACCCCCGCAUUUCUUCGAAGAGGAAAUAAAUACCAGAGUGAACCCACAAACCUUCGCCUCUGCAGUUGCAGUGGUACUGCCCUAACAGACCUCAGGCUGGGGAAGGAACAAAGGUCCCAGUCACUACACUGGUAUCUUUAGUGCACCGCAGCCACCAUAUGGAAAGGAGUUCAGUUUCUCUUUCCUGGGAAUCCCCACCCGCUACUCUUCACCAGGCAGGGCCCCUGGUUCAUGACCACAGAACAGUCACGUCACCCACAGCUGAGCAAACCCACCGGUAGUGGCCUGGAGUUUCCCUGGGGAAAAGCUCUCAGAGGUAUAUGACAGUCUCUCCACCACAGUGACCACAUGGAGAGGAGACCAUUAUCUCCUCUCAGUGAGCCCUUGAACCCCUGCUCCCCAACAAGUGGAGCCUCCAACUCACACCAGCAGUGCAGCCACCCACCUCACUGGCUGAACAUUCCCAGUAACAGUGACUCUGCAUUUCUUGGGGUUGGAGCCCUCAGGGGCAACCAAAAGCCUCUCUGCCACUGCCUCUGUAGUAGUACUACCCCUACUACCUUUAGACUAAUUAAACAGCAAAGACCCUAAGUGCCUCAUCCACACCCCCAACAAGCUGCAGUUAACCCAAGGAGAGGAGACCAGUCCAUCUCCCACAGGUCCCAUCCACCCCUGCUGCUUGUCACCAGGGAACCCCCCAGCUUGGACCCACAGUACAGAUCACCCAUCUUGGGCCUAUCACACUGAGCAAUUGCUGACCUGCAUCUCUGUGGAGUGGAGCCCCCAGGAGACAAGUAAAAGACCCCCAGCCACAACCACUGCUAAGGUCCUUCUCUCUGCUGCCUCCAAGCUGGGGAGGAAACAUAAACCCUGAGAUCUCCCCAGAGCUGUGGUGGGCAGCCUAGGAGUGCCAAGUCUCAAUCUGUAGCCAGCACUCAAAUGGGAGAGGAGUCCACACUUUCAGAGCAUUGAGAGGUAGCCCAGCUGCAACCAUGAGGAAAUAUAGAGGAGUCACAUGACUGGGAAAGAGUCUACCUACUGACCACUACUUCACAAAACCCCUCAUUUCCUUCUGUCCUCCCUAAAGCCUCUCAGUUUUGAAUCUCAUGUCUUCAAAUUGUAUCACCCACUGGCCUCCAUGAAGCGCCUAAGCACCACCUACUGGAUCACACCCCGCAGCUUCAACACCAAAAAGUUAGAAAGACUUCAAAUUAACAACCUAACAUCACAACUAAAAGAACUACAGAACCAAGAGCAAACCAAUCCCAAAGCUAGCAGAAGACAAAAAAACACAUGCUUAUCUCAACAGAUGUAUCUCACUAACAUACCCGCCCUGUAAAACCAAAGAUAAGAAGUCAGCUGCAAAUAAAGACCUCGCACAAAGCCUCAGCCCUGUGAAAAUAUUCAGGAAAAAAGUCUUCUGACUGUACUCAAUCUAUGCUGCAGUUAAAGGAACACCCAUACACAGAGAUGAGAAAGAACCAAUGUAAGAACUCUGGCAACUCAAAUGACCAGUGUCUUAUGUACUCCAAACAAUAGCACCAGUUCUCCAAUGAGGGUUCUUAAACAGGCUGAGUUGGCUGAAAUGACAGAAAUAGAAUUCAGAGUAUAGAUAGGAAUGAAGAUCAUUGAGAUUUAGGAGAAGAGGAAAACACAAUCCAAGGAAACUAAGAAUCACAAUAAAAUGAUAAAGGAGCUGACAGGCAAAAUCGCCAGUAUUAAAAAGAAACCUAACUGAUCUGAUAGAGCUGAAAAGCACACUGCAAGAAUUUCACAAUGCAAUCGCAAGUAUUAACAGCAGAAUAGACCAAGCUGGGGAAAGAAUCUCAGAACUUGAAGACUGGCUCUCUGAAACAAGACAGCCAGAC
rnacentral:lncRNA from 1 species